UCGGUGGCCAAGUGGUUAGCGCACUUGCCUUUCACCUCUGAGGCUGCAGGUUCGAGUCUCACUAAGUACCUUCUCAGUGCGACUCGAACCCAGCCCCCAUGUGAAAAGAGUAAAAGUCAACGCUCUGCCGAAAGCCGUGGGUUUUCCCCGGGUACUCCGGUUUCUUCCCACAGGGAAAGUUGACAGGGUGGGUUAGGUAAAAAGGACCCACAGUAAUUGGCAUAUGCUGUUGUGGUGACCCUGCCCUAGUUGGCAAAAGCUAAAUAAAUAAAUAAAUAAAUAAAUAACAAA
rnacentral:lncRNA from 1 species